rnacentral:rRNA from 1 species
ACGGGGUGCAGCAGGCGCGAAAACUUCGCAAUGUGCUAACGCACGACGAGGCUACUCUGAGUGCUAUCCGCUGAGGGUAGCUUUUCUUAGGUCUAAAUAGCCUGGGGAAUAAGGGGAGGGCAAGCCUGGUGUCAGCCGCCGCGGUAAUACCAGCUCCCCGAGUGGUUAGGGUGUUUAUUGGGCCUAAAGCAUCCGUAGCCUGCUUUGUAGGUCUCCUGUUAAAUUCAACGGCUCAACCGUUGAGCUGCUGGAGAUACCGCAAGGCUAGGAGGCGGGAGAGGCGGACGGUACUCCGUGGGUAGGGGCAAAAUCCUCUGAUCCACGGAAGACCACCAGUGGCGAAGGCGGUCCGCCAGAACGCGCUCGACGGUGAGGGAUGAAAGCUGGGGGAGCGAACCGGAUUAGAUACCCGGGUAGUCCCAGCUGUAAACGAUGCGAGCUAAGUGAUGGAGUGACUGCGCGCCACUCCAGUGCUGCAGGGAAGCCGUUAAGCUCGCCGCCUGGGGAGUACGGUCGCAAGACUGAAACUUGAAGGAAUUGGCGGGGGAGCAC